GUUAGGAAUAUUGGACAAUGGGCGCAAGCCUGAUCCAGCCAUGCCGCGUGAGUGAUGAAGGCCUUCGGGUUGUAAAGCUCUUUAGCCGAUGAUUAUAAUGACUGUAGUCGGAAAAUAAGCCCCGGCUAACUUCGUGCCAGCAGCCGCGGUAAUACGAAGGGGGCGAGCGUUAUUCGGAAUCACUGGGCGUAAAGCGUGCGUAGGCGGCUUUGCAAGUUGGGAGUGAAAGCCCAGGGCUCAACCCUGGAAUUGCUCUCAAAACUGCAAGGGUCAAAUUCGGGAGAGGAUAGCGGAAUUGUCAGUGUAGCAGUGAAAUGCGUAGAUAUUGACAGGAACACCAGUGGCGUAAGCGGCUAUCUGGACCGAUAUUGACGCUGAGGCACGAAAGCGUGGGGAUCAAACAGGAUUAGAUACCCGAGUAGUCC
rnacentral:rRNA from 1 species